CGGACGGGUGAGUAAUGUCUGGGAAACUGCCCGAUGGAGGGGAUAACUACUGGAACGGUAGCUAAUACCGCAUAACGUCGCAAGACCAAAGAGGGGGACCUUCGGGCCUCUUGCCAUCGGAUGUGCCCAGAUGGGAUUAGCUAGUAGGUGGGGUAACGGCUCACCUAGGCGACGAUCCCUAGCUGGUCUGAGAGGAUGACCAGCCACACUGGAACUGAGACACGGUCCAG
rnacentral:rRNA from 1 species